rnacentral:tRNA from 1 species
GGUCUUAUAGUUUAAAUAAAACAUUAAAUUGCAAAUUUAAUAAUGAAGUUUUCUAAGACUU